rnacentral:rRNA from 1 species
CGAUCCCUAGCUGGUCUGAGAGGAUGACCAGCCACACUGGAACUGAGACACGGUCCAGACUCCUACGGGAGGCAGCAGUGGGGAAUAUUGCACAAUGGGCGCAAGCCUGAUGCAGCCAUGCCGCGUGUAUGAAGAAGGCCUUCGGGUUGUAAAGUACUUUCAGCGGGGAGGAAGGGAGUAAAGUUAAUACCUUUGCUCAUUGACGUUACCCGCAGAAGAAGCACCGGCUAACUCCGUGCCAGCAGCCGCGGUAAUACGGAGGGUGCAAGCGUUAAUCGGAAUUACUGGGCGUAAAGCGCACGCAGGCGGUUUGUUAAGUCAGAUGUGAAAUCCCCGGGCUCAACCUGGGAACUGCAUCUGAUACUGGCAAGCUUGAGUCUCGUAGAGGGGGGUAGAAUUCCAGGUGUAGCGGUGAAAUGCGUAGAGAUCUGGAGGAAUACCGGUGGCGAAGGCGGCCCCCUGGACGAAGACUGACGCUCAGGUGCGAAAGCGUGGGGAGCAAACAGGAUUAGAUACCCUGGUAGUCCACGCCGUAAACGAUGUCGACUUGGAGGUUGUGCCCUUGAGGCGUGGCUUCCGGAGCUAACGCGUUAAGUCGACCGCCUGGGGAGUACGGCCGCAAGGUUAAAACUCAAAUGAAUUGACGGGGGCCCGCACAAGCGGUGGAGCAUGUGGUUUAAUUCGAUGCAACGCGAAGAACCUUACCUGGUCUUGACAUCCACGGAAGUUUUCAGAGAUGAGAAUGUGCCUUCGGGAACCGUGAGACAGGUGCUGCAUGGCUGUCGUCAGCUCGUGUUGUGAAAUGUUGGGUUAAGUCCCGCAACGAGCGCAACCCUUAUCCUUUGUUGCCAGCGGUCCGGCCGGGAACUCAAAGGAGACUGCCAGUGAUAAACUGGAGGAAGGUGGGGACGACGUCAAGUCAUCAUGGCCCUUACGACCAGGGCUACACACGUGCUACAAUGGCGCAUACAAAGAGAAGCGACCUCGCGAGAGCAAGCGGACCUCAUAAAGUGCGUCGUAGUCCGGAUUGGAGUCUGCAACUCGACUCCAUGAAGUCGGAAUCGCUAGUAAUCGUGGAUCAGAAUGCCACGGUGAAUACGUUCCCGGGCCUUGUACACACCGCCCGUCACACCAUGGGAGUGGGUUGCAAAAGAAGUAGGUAGCUUAACCUUCGGGAGGGCGCUUACCACUUUGUGAUUCAUGACUGGGGUGAAGUCGUAACAAGGUAACCGUAGGGGAACCUGCGGUUGGAUCACCUCCUU